UUUGAUGGCGACCGGCACACGGGUGAGUAACACGUAUCCAACCUGCCGAUGACUCGGGGAUAGCCUUUCGAAAGAAAGAUUAAUACCCGAUGGCAUAGUUCUUCCGCAUGGUAGAACUAUUAAAGAAUUUCGGUCAUCGAUGGGGAUGCGUUCCAUUAGGUUGUUGGCGGGGUAACGGCCCACCAAGCCUUCGAUGGAUAGGGGUUCUGAGAGGAAGGUCCCCCACAUUGGAACUGAGACACGGUCCAA
rnacentral:rRNA from 1 species